AAUUAAAAGCCUAGUGGACAUGGCAUCUGCCUGGUAAGCGGAACACUGUGGGUUCGAUUCCCAUCCCUGGAUACUUUAUUUU
rnacentral:tRNA from 1 species